GGUAGAUAGAUAGAUAGACAGACCUUGGUAAGUGUUCUUAUGAUUAAAUCAGAUGUUUGAUGAUUAAAUCUGUGUAAGAAUGUAUUUGUAUUUUUUACCCAUUAUACAGAACGUGAUGCACUGCUUUGUAUGACUGUAUAUCUCUACAUUUUGAGUCUGAUGGCACGAAUAUUACUGUCCAUCGAUUUAUCAGAACGUAAGUUUGUGUACAUGUUUGGUGCAGUGGCUCUGAUUAUUGUGAACACUGUUGCUUUGUUAGUCGAGCUGAUCCUAAAAGCACGAAAUGGUGAACGAAAUGUGAAGGAUCUGACAGUUGUUGUUCUACCAUGUGAAAGUGUCCUCGUCUUUUGCUGUUACCUGUUAAAUUUAAAAAGAGUCUGGCAUAUUUUAGCUGAAAGAAGAAAUGAAAGAAAACAAAGGAAGGCACUUCGGGCUCAGCCGUUGCUUUAGGAACCUUCAUCCUUCCUCAUGGAUCAGCCUGUCUGCAACCAAUCAGCCCCACCACCACACCCAUUACCCUCAUCAGGACCCACAGAUACAGCAGCCAACCCACAGAGAGCACCAUACAAUACAAUCUGGGUCCUCUGCAACAAGAUUAGCCAGGACUGAUCUGACUAACAAUGGGCUCAGAAAUUGUUGGGACAAGCUGCAGUUAAUAAACACUAUUUAUUAAAAACAUAAAAUAUUUAAUAUGCA